AAAUAUUUUUUCAGCCAACUGAAUUGAUCACAUGGUUUUGGUCCUUCAUUCUGUUGCUCUGAGGUAUCAUGUUGAUUGAUUUGCAUAUAUUGAGCCAUUCUUGCAUCCCAGAGAUAAAUUCUACUUGGUCAUGACGAAUGAUGCUUCUAAUGCAUUUUUUGAAUUCUGUUUGCUAGUAUUUUCUUGAGGAUUUUUGCAUUAAUAUUCAUCUGAAAUAUUGGACUGUAGUUUUCUUUUUUGACGUGUCUUUGAUUUUGGUAUCAGGGUAAUACUGGCCUUAUAGAAUGAGUUGGUAAGUAUAAUGCAAGUUCCUAUCUAAUGUAUCUGGAUGAAAAAUUAUCUUGAAUUAUUAAAUUUUAGGUAUUAUCUCACUUCACCAUUUGUUUCUUAUGUUUCAUUUAUCUUAAUCAGAGUAACUCAAUGAUGUUAGCUGGAGUUAAAAAAAGUCUCUUUUUCAGAGUGGGCCGCAUGCUAUGAUAGUGAGUUCUCAUGAGAUCUGAUGGUUUUAUAAAGGGCUUUUUUUCCCCCUUUGCCUUGCACUUUUCUCUUCUGCUGCCAUAUGAAGAAGGACAUGUUUGCUUCCCCUUCCACCAUGAUUGUAAGUGUCCUGAGGCCUCCCCAACUCUGUAGAACUGUGAAUCAAUUAAACCUCUUUCCUUUAUAAGUUACCCAGUCUUAGGUAUUUCUUCAUAGCAGUGUGAGAAUGGCCUAAUACAGCAUUAUAUAUCGAAUGACAUGAAUUAUUUGCAUUUAUUUUGAAU
rnacentral:lncRNA from 1 species